rnacentral:rRNA from 1 species
GUCCCAGUUCGGAUUGUAGUCUGCAACUCGACUACAUGAAGCCGGAAUCGCUAGUAAUCGCGGAUCAGCAUGCCGCGGUGAAUACGUUCCCGGGUCUUGUACACACCGCCCGUCACACCAUGGGAGUCGGAAAUGCCCGAAGUCGGUGACCUAACCGGAAGGGAGGAGCCGCCGAAGGCAGGUCUGAUGACUGGGGUGAAGUCGUAACAAGGUAAC